AAUCAAUCUGAGUCCUGGAAAAGUUCUGGAAUUAUUUGUUUCUGAGAUAUGGUGCGAACCCUGUUGUAUAUAUUAUAAACAUGCUUCAUUUACUGGCUAACUGGCAUGUUUAUAUGUUGUUCUUAUUCAGUCUUUAUGGUCAAAAGUGCCAUGUAGUAAACUGUUAAUGGAAACCAGCUCCCAAUUUACAGAGUCCGGUUUUUGUUUGUGUUUCUGCGUUGUCUUUUCAGUAAGACGAAAUUCAUAAUGGCUAAUGUAGCACAUCAGUGUUGACUCGUAAACACUGAACGACUGCUUUCUCCUUGGUGAAAGUUAAGAAGGUAGAUUACAAUGUUAACAGAUAAAAUUUCCUUGUAAGGAAUUAUUCUCAUGUGCUUUAGAGCCAUUAACCCAAUGCGAUAAAGCACAUGUUUCUUAUUUUUGAUCUCAGUAUUAAUUUGCUGCUUAAUUUAUUUGUUCGUAGCGACAUAAGCGUUUUAUAUGUUACCUAAGAGAUUUAAGAGCCAACCUGUUUGUUUCUACAGUUGUUACUCCUUGGUGACUGACUUACACAUAGUCAUUUUCAAGACUGAGAAUUCAAAACAACGGGACAACUACAAAACUUCUCUUUAAGGUAAGAAAAUUAUGGAAAAAAUUAUAAUAUGUGAAUUCUAGUCUGUGUGACUGAUUUAAAUAGGUAAAUAUAUUUAGCAGUGUUUGUCUGCAUAUGUAUGGGUCUAAAACAACAUCGUUGGAUUGUUUUACUCGCUCGUGAAAGUUAGCCUCAUAUCCAACAACUCUGACACUUCAAAAAAUGAGGCUAACUACUAACUAACUUCCACGAGCGACUCUUCAUGGAAGCCUGGAUGUCAAUAAAGGAUCCGCAAUCUGGAAAUGACCACAUCGCCAUCCCAGAAGUCUGCAAGUCUUUGGCACGCGCAUAAGUCUCCCGCUACAUUUCCAUGAAACUUCACCCGGAAUCUUCCUCAGCGCGCGUUCGACGUGCUGCUUUUUGAAUCACGCGUACUAACGUUAAUAUUUCAACUGAUGAAGAAACGUCUUGAACGAAACAUCAAAAAUAGUCAAUGCCAAACCAUUAUCUUACAAUGGCGUGAAGUCAGUUGGUACAAAAGUAGACGCUUGAGAAAAAUGCACUAAACAUUUCUUACAUGAUGGAUUAAACAUUUAAACAAGCCAAAAAUUGCAGAUGGGGUGCAAAUUGGAUCGCGAGGGGUGGGGGAGUGUAAUGGUUGUUCCAUUUUGAAAAAGUUACCGCAGUUGUAGGAAAUGUACCUUUUCAUCAGGGAAAUGAAUGAGCCUGUGGUGGUAAAUUAGGCAAAGCUUUUCCCAAGUUAUUAUACCAAUAGAGUUGUGCAUCUCUACAAUCUUACUACAAAGUAUCGUUCAUAUAUGUGAAAACUAAUCCAUGUUUUUGGUCAUGUUCUUACUGCAAAAAAGCCGUUGCUCUGGCCGUUGAUACGUAAAAAAACUUUUACCACUGUGUACAUUUCACACUUAUCUAGAGGUAAAUACGAAAAGAUCAUUUCAAAAUGUUUUUAAUAAGCGUUGAAGGGUCUUCUUGCAUGUUCAAAAAAAUGGAAUUUUUAAUGAACAUUGCCAUAUUUUAGGGCAGUAUUACUUUAACUCUUCCUCGUACGAAAAGUUCAAAAAAAAUUUGAAACGGCUCAGUUUGGAGCCAUUCCAAACCCCCCUUUUCAAACGCCCUUUUUUUUCACGACUCACAUUUAAACGAUAUAUGCCCUUUCCAGACAAGGCGAACGUCAGAGUAGCCUAGAAGCCCGGCCUUGACUACCUCAGUUUUAGAAUGUUUUCUCCCGUGUACUUUUGCUCGAAUGAUCUGCGCUUUGCCUGAAAACGUUCAAAAAUGUUUGAACCCCCAUCUGCUCGGGGAGGAUCGGGGAGCGGUUUUCCAUUGUAUCGCUGGACGUGAUCAUAGAAGUUGUAUUAACUCCCUGGUGACUGACACUGGCUCGUUUUCAAGUGAAUUAAAAAACAACUGUAUGACCACAGAACCUCUCUGCAAGUUGUUAAGCUCCUUGGUGACUGACUUACACAUAACCAUUUUCAACACUGAGAAUUCAAAUCAACUGCACAACUACAGAACUUCUUUUUAAGGUAAGAAAAUUAUGGGAAAAAAAUUUAAUAUGUGAAUUCUAGUCUGUGUGAUUUAAAUAGGUAAAUAUAUUUAGCAGUGUUUGUCUGCAUAUGUAUGGGUCUAAAACAACAUCGUUGAAUUGUUUUACUCGCUUGGUUUGGACAAUUUGUUGGAGAAAACAAUUCGUCAAAAACUUGAUUUGCUAUGCUUGUCAACUGGCCAAUAAAAUAAUCCUGUUUUGUGAUUCUCUACUAGUGCGACUUAAUUUAUUUAUGUUCAAAAGAGUUGUGGCUGUUUCAGUGAACUAUACAAGACUAUUAAGCAACAACAAUGGUUUCGCUGUAGUGCGUCGAAGGCGUCAACGCUAAAGAUAUCAACAGGUGACUGACUGAUACCGUGUCCUUUCCAACGGAUUUAAAAAUAAAACUCCACGACUUCAGAACUUCUCUUAAGGUAAGAAAAUUGUGAAAACAAAAAUUCUGAAAUCACAUGUAUUGAGUUAAGUUAGUUUGUGUGAUCAUUACUGUAGGUUUUAUUUAGAAGUGUUUGUCUGCAUACAUUAAUUGGUCUAAAAGAACAAAGGUGGAAAUCUUUUCACUUAAUUGCUUGCUAAAAUUAGUGAGUGAAUUUGUUCGCAGC